rnacentral:hammerhead_ribozyme from 1 species
GCACUGCUGACGAGUCCCAAACAAGAUGAAACAGCGGUCCGGUGC